rnacentral:rRNA from 1 species
UACGUAGGGUGCAAGCGUUAUCCGGAUUUACUGGGUUUAAAGGGUGCGCAGGCGGAUAUGUAAGUCAGUGGUGAAAUCUCUGGGCUUAACCCGGAAAUUGCCAUUGAUACUAUAUAUCUUGAAUGCUGUGGAGGUAAGCGGAAUAUGUCAUGUAGCGGUGAAAUGCUUAGAUAUGACAUAGAACACCUAUUGCGAAGGCAGCUUACUACGCAGAGAUUGACGCUCAUGCACGAAAGCGUGGGGAUCAAACAGG